CGCGUAGGUGGUUUGAUAAGCGAGAUGUGAAAGCCCGGGCUUAACCUGGGAACGGCAUUUCGAACUGUCAGGCUAGAGUAUGGUAGAGGAGUGUGGAAUUUCCUGUGUAGCGGUGAAAUGCGUAGAUAUAGGAAGGAACACCAGUGGCGAAGGGCGGCACUCUGGACCAAUACUGACACUGAGGUGCGAAAGCGUGGGGAGCAAACA
rnacentral:rRNA from 1 species